rnacentral:lncRNA from 1 species
UACGUGGGAUAAUAUAGGCAAAAGCACUCAAUGCAGUAGUUCACAGGUAGUAAGAAUUUGUUAAAUGCCAAUAGUACUAUAGUUGGAGAGAAUUAAGAGAUGACAUAGCAAGAUGAAAGAUGAUGUAAAUAAUCACAAAUAUAUGUCCAGGGAAAUAGUAAGCGCAGUAGAACAAAGAAUUGGGGAGUAGUAGGGAGUAAACUGUCAAAAGGUAAAUCAUGAUUGGAUUACAGGGGAAUCUAAACAUUGGGCUGAAAGAUUGAGGUGGCUGCUAGAAACAAUGAGAAUUCAUUCAGAAAAGGUCACAUGAGAUUUAUUUUUUGUUUAAAGGUUUAGAUUUGACAACACCAAGGUAACUGCCACAAAUUAUGCUUAUUUAGACCAACUAAGUAAACUUGCUCCAAAUGUAGAUAAUUGAGAGGGUGUAGAUUUGCAUAGCCAAUUAAGCCUUUUCAAUAAAAUAAAGCCCCUAAUUAAUAUAUUCUCUGUAAAUACUGGGUAACUACUAAGGACAAAUCUUUGCUUAAUAAUUUUGAAAGCAGAAUACAGUACACAACAUUUAAAUAAAUAUCAAACUUAAGUGUAUAUUUAGUAUCUUUGUCAAUAUUGGGUUCACCAUCAUUACUUAGUCUAACUGAUACGUUCACUUUUCUGAUUUAAGCAGAUCCUUUCAUAUUCUCUUAAUUAUUUUUCUGGUAGGGUUACAGGUUAGGGAAAAUUAUUUUAAGUCUGUACAGUUAAUCUGCAGAGCAAUUAUAAAGUACUGAAAGCAAGACUCAUUGUUAUAUCUCCAGCCUCUAACAAAAGGUCUUGCACAGUAUAAAUGCUCAGCAAAUCUUUGCAAAUAUUAACUAUGGAUUCAACAAAGGACUAGUAUCCAGAAGCCACAGGAACUCAAACAAAUCAGCAAGAAGAAAAACAAAUAAUCCCAUCAAAAAGUGGGCAAAGGACAUGAAUAGGCAUUUCUCAACAGAUUUACGAACAGCCAACAAACAUAUGAAAAAAUGCUCAUCAUCACUGAUCAUCAGGGAAAUGCAAAUGAAAACCACAAUGAGAUACCACCUUACUCCUGCAAGAAGACUAUUAUUAAAAAGACAAAAAACAACAGAUGUUGGUGUGAUGUGGUGAAAAGGGAACACUUUUAUACUGCUGGUGGGAAUGUAAAUUAGUACAACCACUAUGGAAAACAAUAGGGAGGAUCCUUAAAGAACUCAAAGUAGAACUACCAUUCAAUCCAACGAUCCCACUACUGGGUAUCUACCCAAAGGAAAAGAAGUCAUUAUACAAAAAAGACACAUGCACGAGCAUGUUUACAGCAGCACAAUUUGCAAUUGCAAACAUAUGGAACCAACCUAAGUACCCAUCAACCAAUGAGUGGAUAAAGAAAAUGUAGUAUAUAUACACUAUGGAAUACUACUAGGCCAUAAAGGAUGAAAUAAUGUCUUCUGCAGCAACUUGGAUGGAACUGGAGGCCACUAUUCUAAGUGAAGUAGCUCAGGAAUGGAAAAGCAAAUAUCAUAUAAUCUCACUUAUAAGUGCGAGCUAAGCUAUGAGGACACAAAGACAUAAGUGUGAUGUUUGAACUUUGGGGACUCAGGGUAGGUUGAGAGGGGAGUGAGGGAUAAAAGACUAUAUAUUGAGUACAGUGUAUGCUGCUCAGGUGACAGGUGCACUAAAAUCUUAGAAAUCACUACUAAAGAACUUAUCCAUGUAACCAAAAACCACUUAUACCCAAAAAACUACUGAAAUAAAAAAAUUUGCAAAUAUUCCUUAAGGGAAAAAAGGUAGGAAAAAGAUGAUAAAGGGAAGGAAAUAUUGCUGUAACAUGUUGUUAUCAUCCUGCAGAGGUCCUUGGCUUCUUGCACACCUGCAUGAUAAAGGUGCUAUUGAUUCACAACCCUACACUCAGGAAAAGUUUCAUUACAACUACAAUAUAAGGACACCUUAUGGUGUCCUUAAAAGCACUCAACGGUAUCUUAGUAUUUUUCACUCUUCAGUCAGCUGCCAUUUGACUACUGCUGUUUACUGUCCUGAUUGAAGCAAGGCCAUUGUAUGUUUCAGAAAAUGUGACGGGGGUUGAUAUUAGGUUAGGCAAGAAACUAGCAGCAAACUAAAUUGAGUCAAGUUGUACGUUUUGCUCAAAGCUGACAGAAAUCUCCACAGCAGUAAGGAUCCUCUAUUAUAGACUAAGUUUUUACACAUGAUCAAAAUGUGCCUGCAUGCCUGUGAAUUAACAGGAGUCCGCCAGAGCAUCUUGUCUUAACAGUUAUGAGAAACAACUGAUUGGACUCAGCUUUGCUUUUCCAUCUCACAUGUUUUCUCAGCAUUGCUUGCUAUCACAAUGUGCAAGUACUGCACACUAGCUGAUUGCGCCACUGGAGCAUGCUUUAAAUUCUGAAAAUUCUGACAAGUCAAUACACACUAAGUGGUUACUAGUAGAAUCUACUUUUAAAAAAAUGAAUUUGGAAUAUUUAAUUUCACCCAUUAUUUAAGCAAAAUAUGAAGCUAACAUAGACCCAUUAAAUAUAUAGCGAUAUUUAUUUAUCCCACAUGGACAGUACUGGCAAGCAAACUCUGCAGAUGUGUGGGAUAUGAGCUGCUAUAAUUCAAAUGGCAGGAAUUUAUUUAUACAUACUAAGCUUCAGAGAUUAUUUUACAUGAAACAUUUAUAAAAUAUAGUCAUAUUCAGUGUAUUAAAUGAGUCCUUCCUACCAAACGCAAAACAAAGCUGAAACCCAGAUGACUUUGCCGAUGGGGAAAUCAACCAUGCAAAUUUAGUCAUGUCCAUUUAACCCAGCAAGGCUGGGCAGAACCUGAUAAUUAAUAGAAGCCAGCUCCUUUCACUGGUGAUCUGAGUACAUCAGAGUGAGGCACCCCAGCAGGAAAGAGCUUCGGCAUGGUAAGGGAGGCCCUGAAACAAAUGCUUUAGAUGUCAGUGCAGGACAUUCAGUGACCUGGAAAUAUGAGGUCUCUCUUUAUUUUGACCCAAAUUGAAAGCCCAAAGAGUGUAGACCAAAGACAGAGGACACAGCCUAGUUCAGUGCCAGCCACAUGUGAGCACUUGAUGAAAGUUCUUUGAAUAAAGCAGGUUUCUUGUUGAUCUCAUUGACAACAUUUAUUUACUGUAAUUGUCUUGUUGACUAAAGCACCGUCUAUUGCAGACUCAUAUUUUAAGCAAUAAACAUCAUCGGAUUUUGCAGACACACUUAGAAAUUACUUUUCAUAGAAAUUUACUUUCUUUUCCUAGGACUUGAUGGCCUAGGAGAAUUAACAUAGCUCGUUAAUAAAUAUUAGACAUUGAGAGACAGUCCUCACUUAACUUUGCUGAAUUGUUAUUAUUUAAGCAGCAGAAAACAUAAGCAAAUGUGAGCUGGGCAGGCUUGAAGGCCUUCUCAUGAGGGCUCAGUGUCACCUUGUUAAACAGAGCUGUUAGGACACCUAGUGUAUGUCCAAUUGAGCCGCAUGUUUAACAGGCUUUAGGGGGAUUUUCCAUAUAUAGAAUACACAUUAGUACUUUAGUGGUGGACAUAAAUUGUGUAUGACUAAGCCAUUCCUCAAGAUCAGUGACAAGAUUUAAAGAGAAAACUUGACCAAAUGGAGUGUAUUAGUAAAAAGAAACCAUGAACUCAAGGCACCUGGACACCCUGAUACCUGAAGAAUGCCUGGAGUAAUUGAGGAUAUGUAGUCUGAAAAAGAGGAGAUUUGUGUUUUGAUGUUUCAAUGUCUACCUUAUGAAAAAAGAGAUUAUAUUUGUUCUCUUUUGUACCAAUGGUGAAAAACAGAAAUGGAUUUCAGCUCUUUGUAAUAGAAAACUUUAUAAUAAUGGGAACCAUAAAACUACCGGCCAUCUAGUGAAAUAUUCAGGUCUCCACUGGUCAUUGAAAGUGUUCAAAUAGGGGAAGACAAUCUGUUAUUCU